GCCAUAUUGCCGCCUUAGCGGCUGCUCCUCCCCAGAAUGCGGGCAGGGGGCCUCUCUCCCACUCCCCACACACCCAUUUCUGAGUAGCGACAGGGGCUGGAGGCUUAUUUUAUGGGGUAGGGGGCCGCUGGUAGGCGAAGAUUGUCCGAGGGAGAGGGGGAGGAUGAAGGCAGUGCGUGGCGGAGACCUGCCAGAUGUUGAUGCCUAAGAAGAACCGGAUUGCCAUUUACCAACUCCUUUUUAAGGAGGGAGUCAUGGUGGCCAAGAAGGAUGUCCACGUGCCUAAGCACCCGGAGCUGGCAGACAAGAAUGUGCCCAACCUUCAUGUCAUGAAGGCCAUGCAGUCUCUCAAGUCCCGAGGCUGCGUGAAGGAACAGUUUGCCUGGAGACAUUUCUACUGGUACCUUACCAAUGAGGGUAUCCAGUAUCUCCGUGAUUACCUUCAUCUGCCCCCGGAGAUUGUGCCUGCCACCCUACGCCGUAGCCGUCCAGAGACUGGCAGGCCUCGGCCUAAAGGUCUGGAGGGUGAGCGACCUGCGAGACUCACAAGAGGGGAAGCUGACAGAGAUACCUGCAGACGGAGUGCUGUGCCACCUGGUGCCGACAAGAAAGCCGAGGCUGGGGCCGGGUCAGCAACCGAAUUCCAGUUUAGAGGCGGAUUUGGUCGUGGACGUGGUCAGCCACCUCAGUAAAAUUGAAGAGUAUUAUUUUGCAUUGAAUAAAUUUACAGCCAAAAAACCUUAAAAAAAAAA